CCCCAAAAUUUUUUUUUGCUCUACAGCCCUUUGUGAACAUACCUAUAACUGUUGCUUCGGCGGGUAGGGUCUCCGCGACCCUCCCGGCCUCCCGCCUCCGGGCGGGUCGGCGCCCGCCGGAGGAUAACCAAACUCUGAUUUAACGACGUUUCUUCUGAGUGGUACAAGCAAAUAAUCAAAACUUUUAACAACGGAUCUCUUGGUUCUGGCAUCGAUGAAGAACGCAGCGAAAUGCGAUAAGUAAUGUGAAUUGCAGAAUUCAGUGAAUCAUCGAAUCUUUGAACGCACAUUGCGCCCGCCAGCAUUCUGGCGGGCAUGCCUGUUCGAGCGUCAUUUCAACCCUCAAGCUCUGCUUGGUGUUGGGGCCCUACAGCCGAUGUAGGCCCUCAAAGGUAGUGGCGGACCCUCCCGGAGCCUCCUUUGCGUAGUAACUUUACGUCUCGCACUGGGAUCCGGAGGGACUCUUGCCGUAAAACCCCCCAAUUUUCCAAAGGUUGACCUCGGAUCAGGUAGGAAUACCCGCUGAACUUAAGCAUAUCAAAAGGCCGGAGGAA
rnacentral:rRNA from 1 species